UUGUUUUUCUUGUGAAGGCAACGAUUUGUGGCCGUUUCAAUCUGACCCACCUCUUCCUGUACUCUGCUUUUCUAGUUUCUGGGUUUUGUAGAAACUUAAAAAUAAAUCUUGUCAUGCAUUCCCUUUUCUCUGGCUGAGCACAGUAAAAACAACCAGCAUAUGGAAAAGUAAUUCAAAUAAUUCAUCAGAUGUUUUCCCUUCUGGUUUGGAUAAGAAUGGAUGGUUUAGAAAUAUGGUGCUGCUUUUGUGGAUUAGAAAUGUGCUACUGGUGUUUUUUCAUGUGCCUUUACUCUCGUCGGCUGGUCCAAUACAGGUUUUGUUUCAUAUUCGUGGGCAUUGUCUUUUUUUAAGCCAAGUUCUUAUGAAAAAUAGUUGGCUGUACUUGGCAAGUACUAAAAUUUUGCCUUCUGAUGGGAGCCUGUUCGUUGAAGUUUGAUGCGAUGACCUUUCUAUAAAUCAUAUUUGGUUUUAGAUAUUACAGAAACAAUUUAAAGUAUGCAGGCUUGUAAUUUGAUAGAAGCCCAUUUAGCCUAGCGCAUUUGAUAAAGCUUAUUUAGUCCAGCCCAAUUCAACCAAAUAAACAGAAUUGUAUCCAACUAAAUUUCUUCGAUCGGUUUGAACCGGUUCUUGAAAAUAGUUGGUUCGGUUUCAGUUUCUAUUUUAGGAAACUGAUUUGAAUCGGUUCAGUUUCUAUUUUAGGAAACCGAUUUAAAUCGUUUCGGUUUCAAGAAUAACUCUAAACCGACUGCGAAGGAAAGUUGCGGCUUUUAAUACAAUUCAUCUCUCCUGGUCCUUCUUCCUCCCCCCUCUGCUUCUCUUUCUCUUCUACUUCUUCUCUAGGUCAUGAUGGCCGCCACUCUCUCUUAGCCUUCUAGUUCAAGACCUCCGGUCUAGGAGCUCCAACCAGCGCCCCCUCCCGAUCGGCCAACAAGGUGGCUAAGAGAAAGUGUCCUCGGAUCACGAUUUUUUCAGCUUAGUUUUGCCUCCCUGAAGCAUACAACUCCAAAUUGAAUGCUGAAUUGGUGGUAAAGAACCCAAUUUUAUCAUUUACUGAAGGUCUGCAAGCUAAUCCCUUUCCUCUUCUUUUCUUUAUAGAUUAAACCCUAGUUCUGAAAAUUUGGUGUUUGUAUCUAAUGUCAAGACAUUUUGAGCAAACUUCUAGUUUUUUGAUAAAUUCGACUUUGGCUUUGUUUGGUAGCUUGGCUGGUUGGUUCGCAUAUGGAACUGUAUUGUAUAAAUGGUUAGCACUGAUGCUUUUUGAGCUUCAAUGUCUCUGGUUUUUAAGUGCACAUUUAGAUAUGUAGAGAUGAAGUUGGUGAAGCCAAUUGAGUUGUUUCAAAAGUUUCUCAAGUCGGGCUCUAAGGAGCAAGGCCGGCUGCUUGGACUAGAUGUUGGGCAAAAAUAUGUUGGUUUGGCUGUCUCAGAUACUUGUAACAAAAUUGCGUCACCUUUAAGUGUCUUGGUCAGGAAGAAAACAAACAUCGAUUUGAUGGCCAGAGAUCUUCAAAUGUUGGUUUCUCAACUUUCUCUCAUUGGCUUUGUUGUUGGUUACCCCUUCAGUUUACAGGGUCAAUCUAGUGUAGAGGCUGUGCAAGUGAAGCUUUUUAUGGAGGAACUUCGCAAAACAGGGAGACUUGAUGGCUUGUGUUAUACAUACUGGAAUGAAAAUUAUACCUCAAAGUGUGUAGAAGCCCUGUUAGAUCCUUUGAAUCUACAUCCAGUAGAGUCCAAGACAAUCAUGGACAAAUUCGCUGCUGUUGGUAUACUCCAGUUCAGAUGGAAGAUUUGCCAACUCUGCAAAGAUAACCAUAUGCAUUUAUUAGACAAAUAUGCUGGAUUUCUUUGAGACUGAACGGAGGAUAGUUAAGCACAGUGGAGUAUGAUUGUGACCAGGAUUUGUGGCUGGUGGAUUGACAGGGAUAUCUCGAUGACAUGAAUAGGAAUCUGAAGUCAGAAGACAUGCCUAGAGAAUGAUGCAAUGGGUCAGAAGCAGAUAGGAAUGGUGGAUGGAAAAUGAGUAGGUUGGAAUGGUCGUUGCAGCAAGAAUUCCGACAAAACAGAAAUCAUCUUUCUGAUGGAUUUCAUGUCCGAAAAUUUUCUGAAUAACAACCUUCCUGAUUCCUCCAUUUCUUGUUUCCACUGCCUCGUCUUCUAAGCUGAUUUUUUCCCACUGUUUUAGAUACGAGAUGGAUUUGGUGGCCUAGCAUUCCUGACAGCCUUGAAGUUUGUUAUUUUAUCAAAAAUCAAUCCCGAGGAAAACCAGUGUUGCUGAAUUUUCAAAACUCAUCUCGAGUGCCAAGUGUGGCUCUAAAUUUUGACCAUCUGCUCAUCUGCUAUUGCAUCUUCAUUUUUCUUAUUUUUGUUUUUGGUUAAGCCAUUUUAGCAUGGAGCCCAAAAUUUUCGGAAAGAAACAUGACUGAUGUGCAACUCCUAUUAUGAGGGAUUUGGCAGGCUUCAUUGCAGGUUAAUUAUAAAGUUUGUGAAUGCCUUCCGGGAAGCAAACCAUGUUGCUGAUUGUCAACAACGCAAGGACAAUGGCUUGAUGCUCUGUUAUCUUGAUGGAAACCCGAGAAUAUUAUUUGGGAUAGCAGUAGAUCCGAUCUCCCUCUUGCAAAGGGAUCUAUAUAAUGUUUAUGGAAUUCAAUGUCUUCUUUCAUGGAACCUAGUGAAAUAAAAACUGCAUAUUUCCA